rnacentral:rRNA from 1 species
UACGUAGGGUCCGAGCGUUGUCCGGAAUCAUUGGGCGUAAAGCGCGUGUAGGCGGUUCGAUAAGUCUGCUGUGAAAGUCCAGGGCUCAACCCUGGGAUGCCGGUGGAUACUGUCGGGCUAGAGUACGGAAGAGGCGAGUGGAAUUCCCGGUGUAGCGGUGAAAUGCGCAGAUAUCGGGAGGAACACCAAUUGCGAAGGCAGCUCGCUGGGACGUCACUGACGCUGAGACGCGAAAGCGUGGGGAGCAAACAGG